rnacentral:rRNA from 1 species
AUACGGAGGGUGCAAACGUUGUUCGGAAUCACUGGGCGUAAAGGGCGCGCAGGCGGCUUGAUUAGUCAGAUGUGAAAGCCCACGGCUUAACCGUGGAAGUGCAUUUGAAACUGUCAGACUUGAGUACCGGAGGGGGUAGUGGAAUUCCCGGUGUAGAGGCGAAAUUCGUAGAUAUCGGGAGGCAUACCGGUGGCGAAGGCGACUACCUGGCUGGAUACUGACGCUGAGGCGCGAAAGCGUGGGGAGCAAACAGAAUUAGAAACCCCGGUAGUCC